UACGAAGGGGGCUAGCGUUGCUCGGAAUGACUGGGCGUAAAGGGCGCGUAGGCGGAUGGCACAGUCAGAUGUGAAAUUCCCGGGCUUAACCUGGGGGCUGCAUUUGAUACGUGUUGUCUAGAGUGAGGAAGAGGGUUGUGGAAUUCCCAGUGUAGAGGUGAAAAUUCGUAGAUAUUGGGAAGAACACCGGUGGCGAAGGCGGCAACCUGGUCCUUGACUGACGCUGAGCGCGAAAGCGUGGGGAGCAAACAGG
rnacentral:rRNA from 1 species